UGGGGAAUAUUGCACAAUGGGCGGAAGCCUGAUGCAGCAACGCCGCGUGCGGGAUGACGGCCUUCGGGUUGUAAACCGCUUUCGCCUGUGACGAAGCGUGAGUGACGGUGAUGGGUAAAGAAGCACCGGCUAACUACGUGCCAGCAGCCGCGGUGAUACGUAGGGUGCGAGCGUUGUCCGGAUUUAUUGGGCGUAAAGGGCUCGUAGGUGGUUGAUCGCGUCGGAAGUGUAAUCUUGGGGCUUAACCCUGAGCGUGCUUUCGAUACGGGUUGACUUGAGGAAGGUAGGGGAGAAUGGAAUUCCUGGUGGAGCGGUGGAAUGCGCAGAUAUCAGGAGGAACACCAGUGGCGAAGGCGGUUCUCUGGGCCUUUCCUGACGCUGAGGAGCGAAAGCGUGGGGAGCGAACA
rnacentral:rRNA from 1 species